rnacentral:lncRNA from 1 species
ACGUUUGAGUAAAUUCCUGUCUGGUCGUGUAAUGGAUUCAUUCACGUUGAAUCCAAAGCCCUGUAUUGAACUAUGUCCACUGUCAGGAGGGGGCCGGCCACAAGGAGAGGAGGGAAAAGGACAGGACAGUGAAGAAACUGCCAUCAGAGAAACUACCUGUGAAAGAAUAAGCACGGUAUCAUUAUUUUGAGCUCUGUAAAACAAACACAAAACAUACACCCCAAACCCCCCACGAAUCGACACCAGUUGUUCGUAAAGCCUUGUGCUAGGGAUGAGAAAGAGAGCGAGAGGAAGGCCUUCGCUUUACAGCCUGUCAGGCAGACAAGGACAAAACAGGGAAGAAAAACUUGUCCCAAAAGAAAUGAUAUUAGUGAAGUAAAACAGUAUUGCUGGUGUGUCAGCACAUCCGUGUGAAGAGACCGUGAAUGAAAUGAGUCCAGGAGAGAAAUGCGUUGGUUUAAUGAUUCGUCCACAAACGCUUAUUAAGCACCAACCAUGUGCCAUCCACUGCGACAGGGGCUAGAGACACAAAAACAAAUAGGACGCAGACCCUGCCCCAAGGCCCUUCCAAGCCAGGUAGCUUGGAAGACGAAGCAGGAAUAUGUCAUCAGAGCUCUCGCCGACAUUGGUACAAGGUUCAGGCGAUUCCAAUGAGGUGGGGAGUCUGUGGGCAGAGCCAGGAAGAGGCUUUCGAGAAGGUCUAGCAAGGGUGACAGCAGCAGUGUAUAGGGAGCAAGUCCAGGGUGAGAUGCUGCGGUAGCUGCUAGGGGCUUAGGAACCCAAGUUCCCAAAGCAUCUGUUUCUGUGGCAUGCCGUUGAAACCUGGAGAGCGACGACAUCAUGGGAAAGGACCUCCUGGAGUGCUAUGGGCAGGCCAGCAGAGCCCUGACUGCAGCCCAGAGAGGAAAAUGACUUGCCCAGUCAGUAAGUGGCAAAGUGUCCUUCAGCCGGUGCCCUCGUUCCUGCCCUCUGGGAGGCCCUGCCCUGAUAAACAGCUAUGGAAUGUCGACACACAUGUGAAUGUGCUUGCAGCUGAAGCUCUUGAACAUUCAAAUGCCUUCCCUGCUGGAUAAUCUCUGAAAGAAGUUGGACAAAGGAGAGGGGAAUGGACCCAGGGAGCUUAAGAAAUGUUUUUGUAAACCUGUAUCCGGCCACACUAAAUAUGUAUGCAAUGUAGGUGGGCCUUGCACUCCGGGGGGUUUCCAUUCAUGUGUUAGGAUUUCAGUGAUAAGAAAAUAUAUUUUUAAGUUCUUUUUCCAUGCCUGUGAUGUAUCUUGGAAAGUUAGCAGCUGGGGAGAUUUUUUUUUCCUACUGCGUCCUAUUUAAAAAAAAAAAAAUUAAAACAAACCUUUUGAUUUUUUAAAGUAAUUAUGCAUACCAUUUAGAAAAAGCUACCUUAUUAAUAUUUUGAUAGACUUCCCAGACUCUUACUUACACACCUAUAUAUGAAAAGAUACAGCUUUAAGAAUAUGAGAUCAUACCAUACUGUUUCAUAACCUGACUUUUUUUUAUGCAAGAAUCUAUAGUGAACCUAUGUCCAUGGACAUCAAAAGAUGUACAUCAUCAUCAUCAAUCUUAAUAGUUACAUAGUAUUCUAUUUUAUGGAGUUAGUGUAAUUUGACCAAUUCCUAUUGACAAAACUUUAUAUUGUUUCCAAUUUUUGUCUUACUAAACCACGUUUGAUGUUCUUUUAUAAUAUCUUUGCUCUCUUGUUUCUAUCUUAGGGAAACUUCUUAGAAGAAGUAUAUAUUUUACAUGGAUAGGAGAGACAUUCUCCUUUCUAGAAAAGUUGUAUUGAUGUAUAUCAAUACAUUAAUUGGCAGGGGCCAAUGCAUUGGCAGGGGACUCCCAACAGCAAUUGUGUCAAAGUCUUUUAAAAAUAAUUUUAAGGGGGGCGCCUGGGUGGCGCAGUCGGUUAAGCGUCCGACUUCAGCCAGGUCAUGAUCUCACGGUCCGUGGGUUCGAGCCCCGCGUCAGGCUCUGGGCUGAUGGCUCAGAGCCUGGAGCCUGUUUCCGAUUCUGUGUCUCCCCCUCUCUCUGCCCCUCCCCCGUUCAUGCUCUGUCUCUCUCUGUCCCAAAAAUAAAUAAACGUUGAAAAAAAAAAUUAAAAAAAAA